GACGAACGCUGGCGGCGUGCUUAACACAUGCAAGUCGAACGGAAAGGCCCUGCUUGCAGGGUACUCGAGGGGCGAACGGGUGAGGAACACGUGGGUGAUAUGGGCUGGAUUUGGGGCUAAGCUGGGGAAAAGGGGGGUAAUAUGGGAUUGGAGCCAGUUUUGGGGUGAGGGUUGGGGAGGUUUGUGGUGGUAGGAUGCGCGCGCGGUCGUUCGGGCUUGUGGUGGGGUAAUGGCCUGGCAGGGCGGUGACGGGUGGCCGGCCUGAGAGGUUGGACGGACACAUUGGGCCUGAGACACGCCCCAGACUCCUACGGGAGACAGUGGUGGGGAAGCGUGCACAAUGGGCGCAAGCCUGAUGCAGCGACUCCGCGUGGUCGAUGAGUGACUUCCUGUUGUAAACUCCUUACGCUAGUGACGAAGCUUUUUGUGACGGUACCUAUAUAAGAAGCACCGGCUAACUACGUG
rnacentral:rRNA from 1 species